CCGGUUAUCGUAUAAAAGGGAAUCCGGUGAAAAUCCGGAACAGUGCCCGCUACUGUAAAGCCCAUUCCGAAGGAAAGCAUUCUUACACCACUGUCCGGCAUAAGGACGGGAAGGUCGCUUUCCGGGCAAGUCAGGAAACCUGCCAAGGUUUUUUA
rnacentral:ncRNA from 1 species